rnacentral:tRNA from 1 species
CAUAAGAUAGUUUAAUGUAAAAUGUUGACUUUGGGAGUCAUUGAUAAUAUUAGUAUUUCUUUUGA